rnacentral:rRNA from 1 species
UACAGAGGUCUCAACCGUUGUUCGGAUUCAUUGGGCGUAAAGCGCGUGUAGGCGGUCCGGUAAGUCCGCUGUGAAAGUCGGGGGCUCAACCCUCGAAUGCCGGUGGAUACUGUCGGGCUAGAGUGCGGAAGAGGCGAGUGGAAUUCCUGGUGUAGCGGUGAAAUGCGCAGAUAUCAGGAGGAACACCAAUUGCGAAGGCAGCUCGCUGGGACGUUACUGACGCUGAGACGCGAAAGCGUGGGGAGCAAACAGG